CUACGGGAGGCUCCAGUGGGGAAUAUUGCACAAUGGAGGAAACUCUGAUGCAGCAACGCCGCGUGGAGGAUGACGCAUUUCGGUGUGUAAACUCCUUUUAUAUGUCAAGAAAAUGAUGGUAGCAUAUGAAUAAGCACCGGCUAACUCCAUGCCAGCAGCCGCGGUAAUACGGAGGGUGCAAGCGUUACUCGGAAUCACUGGGCGUAAAGGACGCGUAGGGAGGCUUGUAAGUCAGGUGUGAAAUCCUACAGCUUAACUGUAGAACUGCACUUGAAACUACGAGCCUAGAGUAUGGGAGGGGCAGAUGGAAUUAGUGGUGUAGGGGUAAAAUCCGUAGAUAUCACUAGGAAUACCUAAAGCGAAGGCGAUCUGCUGGAACAUAACUGACGCUAUGGCGUGAAAGCGUGGGGAGCAAACAGGAUUAGAUACCCGCGUAGUC
rnacentral:rRNA from 1 species